AGGACGAACGCUGGCGGCGUGCUUAACACAUGCAAGUCGAGCGGAAAGGCCCUUCGGGGUACUCGAGCGGCGAACGGGUGAGUAACACGUGAGCAACCUGCCCUUAGCUCUGGGAUAGCUCCGGGAAAACCGGAAUUAAUACCGGAUAUGACCUAGGCCGACAUCGGCCGUGGUGGAAAGUUUUUCGGCGUAGGGAUGGACUCGCGGCCUAUCAGCUAGUUGGUGGGUAAUGGCCUACCAAGGCGACGACGGGUA
rnacentral:rRNA from 1 species